UACUCCGUUCUGGAUCGGCCGGCCACCUGAGCCCCUUCCCUGCGGCAGAUCCUUCACCGCCCUCCCCCAACCUCCUGCGCGCCGCCCGCAGCCGCCCUCCCCCAACCUCCUGCGAGCCGCCGGCUGCCGCCCUCCCACAACCUCCUUCGCCGGCGCCGCGCUGCCCCGCCACACCUUCUUCCUUCGCCGAUGGCCCGCCGCCCCGCCACACUUUCUUCCUUAGCCGGCGCCCAACCUCCUCACCUCCCCUGCGGCGCCCCACCUCCUUGAGCACCGGCGGCGCCUCCGCACCUCCCCUUCUUCCCGAACAGUGGCGGCGCCUCCACUUGCGUCCUGGUCGGUCGGCGGCGAUCUGCACCUCGACCUCCAUCCCGGAUGGUCACGGUCACGGUGGCCAGUUUAGCUCUGAAUCUCCCCGACCGCCGCUCUGAACCUGCCCCAAGUACCGCUCUGAACCUGCCCCAAUUAAACCUCUCACCGCGAGGUGGACUUCCGGCGGCCGCAGACGUGAAUUUCCAACCACCGUGAAUAUGCUGCACCGGUUCUGGAAGAAAGAGCAUGACUCUGGGUGCGAAAAUUGGGUGGACGGUUUUGUCGUUUUGGCUGUUCUAACCAUCAAGCUCAAGUUUAAGUUAUUAGGUACUUGAUCGAGCAUAUGCUAUAUCUAAGACAUGGAAUGGUGCUAUGGUAAUACUCUCCGGGUAUUUCAACACUACACUUAAGGUAAUUAACUAGUGAACAAUUUAUACUUGCAUUCAGGAUUACAUUCGAGGUACCUAUUCUUAUGUGUUUAUACUCAUUCUAAACGUUAAGAAAGGUCUAUAUGCUGCCCAGAGCUCUCUGUACAAUUUAAUUCUAGAGCAAAAAGGUAGAACUUUUGCAAGACAAAAUAAACUUGAUUCUGGGCAGUCCACUUUCAGUAAAACAAAACUUGAUUUAUUUGGGAGUGUAUUUCAAAAGACUGGUUGGUUUUUCUUUUGGAAGUUCAUAUUUAUUUUGUUAGAAAGUUCGGUUCAUAAUUAUUCCGCGUAGAAAGUCUACUUCUGCUCCCGCCAAGUUUAGUAUUUCAUGUGAGGUAGUAAAAAUAUUUACAUUUGGUUAACGAGUUGGGUUAAACCCAUUGCGAAGUUCGCAUUUAAUUUUUGGGAAGUUCUGUUGGUCCAAUUCACCUUAUUGUGAAAUUUCUUUUUAAAUUCGUAAGUUGGUUUCGCUCCAGAUCUACUCACAAUUCACUUUGUUCAAAAUGGCAAGUUCACUCUUUUUAUUUUGCGGGAGUCCAUUUCAUGUGCAUCAUAUACA